AACGAACGCUGGCGGCAGGCUUAACACAUGCAAGUCGAACGAUGUAGCAAUACAUAGUGGCGCACGGGUGAGUAACGCGUGGGAAUAUACCGAGAAGUGGGGAAUAACUCCGGGAAACUGGAGCUAAUACCGCAUACGCCCUACGGGGGAAAGAUUUAUCGCUUUUCGAUUAGCCCGCGUGAGAUUAGGUAGUUGGUGGGGUAAUGGCCUACCAAGCCGACGAUCUCUAGCUGGUCUGAGAGGAUGAUCAGCCACACUGGAACUGAGACACGGUCCAGACUCCUACGGGAGGCAGCAGUGGGGAAUAUUGGACAAUGGGCGAAAGCCUGAUCCAGCCAUGCCGCGUGAGUGAUGAAGGCUCUAGGGUUGUAAAGCUCUUUCGCCGAUGAAGAUAAUGACGGUAGUCGGAGAAGAAGCCCCGGCUAACUUCGUGCCAGCCGCCGCCGUAA
rnacentral:rRNA from 1 species